AUUGAACGCUAGCGGGAUGCCUUACACAUGCAAGUCGAACGGAGUGGCGAACGGGUGAGUAAUGUAUCGGAACGUGCCCAGUAGCGGGGGAUAACUCCGCGAAAGCGUAGCUAAUACCGCAUACUAUUGGAGCGGCCGAUAUCGGAUUAGCUAGUUGGUGGGGUAACGGCUCACCAAGGCGACGAUCCGUAGCGGGUUUGAGAGGACGACCAGCCAAACGGGAACUGAGACAAGGUCCAGACUCCUACGGGAGGCAGCAGUGGGGAAUAUUGGACAAUGGGCGCAAGCCUGAUGCAGCCAUGCCGCGUGUAUGAAGAAGGCCUUCGGGUUGUAAAGUACUUUCAGCGGGGAGGCGUUACCCGCAGAAGAAGCACCGGCUAACUCCGUGCCAGCAGCCGCGGUAAUUC
rnacentral:rRNA from 1 species